CCAAUAGCGUAUAUUAAAGUUGUUGCAGUUAAAAAGCUCGUAGUUGAAUUUCGGGGUCAGUAGAUUGGUCGUGCCACUGGUAUGUACUGGUCUUACUGGCUCCUCCUUCCUGAUGAACCGUAAUGCCAUUAAUUUGGUGUUGCGGGGAGACUGGACUGUUACUUUGAAAAAAUUAGAGUGUUUAAAGCAGGCUAACGCUUGAAUACAUUAGCAUGGAAUAAUGAAAUAGGACGUUCGAUCUUAUUUUGUUGGUUUCUAAGAUUGACGUAAUGAUUAAUAGGGAUAGUUGGGUGCAUUAGUAUUCAAUUGUCAGAGGUGAAAUUCUUGGAUUUAUUGAAGACUAACUACUGCGAAAGCAUUUGCCAAGGAUGUUUGCAUUAAGCAAGAACGAAAGUUAGGGGAUCGAAGACGAUCAGAUACCGUCGUAGUCUUAACCAUAAACUAUGCCGACUAGGGAUCGGAUGAUGUUAAUUUUUUAAUGACUCAUUCGGCGCCUUACG
rnacentral:rRNA from 1 species